AAGAAGCGACCUCGCGAGAGCAAGCGGAACUCAUAAAGUACGUCGUAGUCCGGAUUGGAGUCUGCAACUCGACUCCAUGAAGUCGGAAUCGCUAGUAAUCGUAGAUCAGAAUGCUACGGUGAAUACGUUCCCGGGCCUUGUACACACCGCCCGUCACACCAUGGGAGUGGGUUGCAAAAGAAGUAGGUAGCUUAACCUUCGGGAGGGCGCUUACCACUUUGUGAUUCAUGACUGGGGUGAAGUCGUAACAAGGUAACCGUAGGGGAACCUGCGGUUGGAUCACCUCCUUA
rnacentral:rRNA from 1 species